rnacentral:rRNA from 1 species
GCCCUUGAGUUUGAUCCUGGCUCAGGAUGAACGUUGGCGGUGUGCCUAAUGCAUGCAAGUCGAACGGAGUUAGUAGCAAUACUGGCUCAGUGGCGAACGGGUGAGUAACGCGUUGGUGAUCUGCCUUGAAGUGUGGAAUAACGUUUCGAAAGGAACGCUAAUACCGCAUGUGCUCUCGAUUUUCAGAAAGUUGAGAGUAAAGGAUUUAUUCGCUUCAAGAGGAGCCUGCGUCCCAUCAGCUGGUUGGUAGGGUAACGGCCUACCAAGGCUAUGACGGGUAGGGGACCUGAGAGGGUGGCCCCCCACAAUGGAACUGAAACACGGUCCAUACACCUACGGGUGGCAGCAGUAGGGAAUAUUAGAAAUGGACGAAAGUCUGAUCUAGCAACACCGCGUGUGCGAAGAAGGCCUUCGGGUCGUAAAGCACUUUUUGGAAGGAAUAGGAAGGAAUGUACUUCCAGAAUAAGUCUCGGCUAACUACGUGCCAGCAGCCGCGGUAACACGUAGGAGGCAAACGUUAUCCGGAUUUACUGGGCGUAAAGCGCGUGUAGGUGGUACUGUAAGUAGGGCGUGAAAGCUCCUGGCUCAACUGGGAGAGGCCGUUCUAAACUACAGAACUAGAGGAUGGUAGAGGGAGGUGGAAUUCCAGGUGUAGCGGUGGAAUGCGCAGAUAUCUGGAGGAACACCGGUGGCGAAGGCGGCCUCCUGGACCAUUCCUGACACUCAGACGCGAAAGCUAGGGUAGCAAACGGGAUUAGAGACCCCGGUAGUCCUAGCCCUAAACGAUGUAGACUAGGCGUCGGAAGCUUAAUCGCUUUCGGUGUCCAAGCUAACGCGAUAAGUCUACCGCCUGGGGACUA